GUGAGUCAUCGAAUCUUUGAACGCACCUUGCGCUCCUUGGUAUUCCGAGGAGCAUGCCUGUUUGAGUGUCAUUAAUAUAUAUCAGCCCUCUUCUUUUGUUAGAGUGGUUUGGAUGUGGGGGUGUGUGUGCUGGCCUGGUUUCAGCUCCCCUGAAAUGCAUUAGCAGAACGACCUUGUUCAUUGGUGUGAUAAACUAUCUACGCUAUUGAAUGUAAAGGGGAAGUUCAGCUUUCUAAUGGUCCUUGGACAAUUUACAUCAUUAAUGUGACCUCAAAUCAGGUAGGACUACCCGCUGAACUUAAGCAUAUCAAUAAGCGGAGG
rnacentral:rRNA from 2 species